AUUGAACGCUGGCGGCAGGUCUAACACAUGCAAGUCGAAUGGUAACAGGAAACAGCUUGCUGUUUCGCUGACGAGUGGCGGACGGGUGAGUAAUGUCUGGGAAACUGCCUGAUGGAGGGGGAUAACUACUGGAAACGGUAGCUAAUACCGCAUAACGUCGCAAGACCAAAGAGGGGGACCUUCGGGCCUCUUGCCAUCAGAUGUGCCCAGAUGGGAUUAGCUAGUAGGUGGGGUAACGGCUCACCUAGGCGACGAUCCCUAGCUGGUCUGAGAGGAUGACCAGCCACACUGGAACUGAGACACGGUCCAGACUCCUACGGGAGGCAGCAGUGGGGAAUAUUGCACAAUGGGCGCAAGCCUGAUGCAGCCAUGCCGCGUGUAUGAAGAAGGCCUUCGGGUUGUAAAGUACUUUCAGCGGGGAGGAAGGGAGUAAAGUUAAUACCUUUGCUCAUUGACGUUACCCGCAGAAGAAGCACCGGCUAACUCCGUG
rnacentral:rRNA from 1 species